GAAAUAUUGUCUACUGGGAAGAGUAAAUAGGCUUAGAUUUAUCAGAGAGUACAUGUGUGCUGAAAAUGUACAGUUUAACUUAUUGAAAGUAGCCCACAUUGAACUUUAGCUGAAAUACUGCAAUAUAAUUGUUUGUAAAAUAGGUUGAAGCGUGUUUGAGCGUUAAUCAUAAUUUUAAGUGCUUGAAAUUAGUGAACUAAUUUCUUGAAUUUAGGUGGUACCACGGGAAAUCCGUCCUAUAU
rnacentral:ncRNA from 1 species